rnacentral:rRNA from 1 species
CCUACGGGAGGCAGCAGUGAGGAAUAUUGGUCAAUGGCCGUAAGGCUGAACCAGCCAAGUCGCGUGAAGGAAGCAGGAUCUAUGGUUUGUAAACUUCUUUUAUAGGGGAAUAAAGGUAUCCACGUGUGGAUAUUUGCAUGUACCCUAUGAAUAAGCAUCGGCUAACUCCGUGCCAGCAGCCGCGGUAAUACGGAGGAUGCGAGCGUUAUCCGGAUUUAUUGGGUUGAAAGGGUGAGUAGGUUGUUUUUUAAGUCAGCGGUGAAAGUUUGUGGCUCAACCAUAAAAUUGCCGUUGAAACUGGAAGACGUGAGUGUGUUUGAGGUAGGCGGAAUGCGUGGUGUAGCGGUGAAAUGAAUAGAUAUCACGCAGAACUCCGAUUGCGAAGGCAGCUUACUAAGCCAUAACUGACACUGAAGCACGAAAGCGUGGGGAUCAAACAGGAUUAGAUACCCGGGUAGUC